rnacentral:rRNA from 1 species
CAACUUUCAGCAGUGGAUGUCUAGGCUCCCACAUCGAUGAAGAACGCUGCGAACUGCGAUACGUAAUGCGAAUUGCAGGAUUCAGUGAGUCAUCGAAAUUUUGAACGCAUAUUGCACUUCCGGGUUAGUCCUGGAAGUAUGCCUGUAUCAGUGUCCGUA